GAUGAACGCUAGCGGCAGGCUUAAUACAUGCAAGUUGAGGGGCAGCAUGAUAUACGCGAGUAUAUUGAUGGCGACCGGCGGACGGGUGAGUAAUAGGUAGGAGACCUACCUCAUACAGGGGGAUAGCAUAGAGAAAUCUGUGGUAAUACCCCAUGAGGUUAUAUGAAUAGAGGCAUAUAAUCAAAGCAUAAGCGAUUAUGCGGUAUGAGAGGGGCCUACUGACCAUUAGCUAGUUGGUGAGGUAAGGGUUCACCAAGGCGAAGAUGGUUAGGGGUUUUGAGAGAGAGACCCCCCACAUUGGAACUGAGAGACGGUCCAGACUCCUACGGGAGGCAGCAGUAGGGAAUAUUGGGCAAUGGGCGAAAGCCUGACCCAGCCAUGCCGCGUGAAGGAAGACGGCCUUAUGGGUUGUAAACUUCUUUACUACGCGAAUAGAGGUUAGUACGAGAUACUAAUAGGAAGGUAGUGUAGUAAAAGCACCGGCUAACUCCGUGCC
rnacentral:rRNA from 1 species